rnacentral:rRNA from 1 species
CAAUAGCGUAUAUUAAAGUUGUUGCGGUUAAAAAGCUCGUAGUUGGAUUUCUGCUUAGGACAGCCGGUCCGCACUACGUGCGUGUAUCUGGUUUGGCCUGGGCAUCCUAUCCGAAGGGGAUACUGUGCUUGAUUGCAUGGUUUUCAGUCGGGUACUUUUACUUUGAGGAAAUUAGAGUGUUCACGGCAGGCAAUCGCCCUGAAUAUAUUAGCAUGGAAUAAUAAUAUAGGAUCUGAUGCCUAUUUUGUUGGUUUCUAGGUGUUAGAUAAUGAUUAAUAGGGACAAUUGGGGGCAUUCGUAUUAUGGCGUCAGAGGUGGAAUUCUUGGAUUGCCAUACGACGAACUACUGCGAAAGCAUUUGCCAAGGAUGUUUUCAUUG